GACGAACGCUGGCGGCGUGGAUUAGGCAUGCAAGUCGAACGGUAUCAUCCUUUCGGGGGUGAGAGAGUGGCGAACUGGUGAGUAACACGUAGGUUAUCUACCCUCAAGACGGGGACAACCCAGGGAAACUUGGGCUAAUACCGGAUGUGAGCAACUUUUAGUUGUUUGAAAGGUGGCGUAAGCUGUCGCCUGGGGAUGAGCCUGCGUCCUAUUAGUUAGUUGGUGAGGUAACGGCUCACCUAGGCAAUGAUAGGUAGGCGGCCUUAACGGGUGGUCGCCCACACUGGGAUUGAGAUACGGCCCAGACUCCUACGGGAGGCAGCAGUCGAGAAUAGUCUACAAUGGUCGGAAGACUGAUAGUGCGACGCCGCGUGAACGAUGAAUCCCUUCGGGGUGUAAAGUUCUUUUAUAUGUGAGCAGUGCUUCUUAUAUUAACAGUAUGGGGAGAGAGAUAUUAGCAUAUGAAUAAGCAACGGCUAACUCCGUGCCAGCAGCCGCGGUAAACUCGU
rnacentral:rRNA from 1 species